rnacentral:rRNA from 1 species
CCUACGUGAGGCUGCAGUGGGGAAUAUUGCACAAUGGGGGAAACCCUGAUGCAGCGACGCCGCGUGAGUGAAGAAGUAAUUCGUUAUGUAAAGCUCUAUCAGCAGGGAAGAAAAUGACGGUACCUGAGUAAGAAGCCCCGGCUAACUACGUGCCAGCAGCCGCGGUAAUACGUAGGGGGCAAGCGUUAUCCGGAUUUACUGGGUGUAAAGGGAGCGUAGACGGCAGUGCAAGUCUGGAGUGAAAGGCGGGGGCUCAACCCCCGGACUGCUCUGGAAACUGUACGGCUGGAGUGCAGGAGAGGUAAGUGGAAUGCCUAGUGUAGCGGUGAAAUGCGUAGAUAUUAGGAGGAACACCAGUGGCGAAGGCGGCUUACUGGACUGUAACUGACGUUGAGGCUCGAAAGCGUGGGGAGCAAACAGGAUUAGAUACCCGGGUAGUC